AUGGAAAUUUUGGCAUGCAAACGGGGUCUUCAAGUGGCGCAAGAAAUCAACGCUGAUAAGGUCCAUGUUGAGCUUGACUCUCAAAGUGUCGUAAACAUGUUGAAUAAUCAACACAAGGAGAUGUCCAGUGCAGGGCCAUGGAUACAGGAAAUCAAAACGAUACUUGCAUCUUUUUCUGAUUUUAGAGUCUCUUGGGUUCGCUGUUCUGCUAAUGUUGCCGCGCAUAAAUUAGCUAGAGUUGGUGUGGGUGAUGAACUAUGUAAGGUUUGGUUGGGAACUACCCCAGAUUGUAUGCUUGAUGUAAUCUCGAUGAGAUUCCGAAUGCAUUUGAUUAAAUAA
rnacentral:rRNA from 1 species